GGUUCUAUAGUGUAGUGGUUAUCACGUGAGUCUUACACACUCAAGGUCUCCGGUUCGAUCCCGGGUGGAACCA